rnacentral:lncRNA from 1 species
CUUGCAAGGUUUCUCCUUUACCCUUUCACUCUUCCCUUGAGUUUUUGUUUUGCUUCUCUUCCAUGGCUGCUUCGGGUAGAUAGUCUAGAGGCGAGAACGUGAUGGGGGACCACAGUUCUCGGACUCCAUCCGCUCGGAGGGAGAUCGAGGAUACUUCUCAGGAUGAUCCUGAAGAUGUUUCUUCUAGACAGGGGCAUCCCGAUCAUGA